rnacentral:lncRNA from 1 species
GUGAGAUCCACCACCCAGCAGUGCCUCCCAGAGGUGAAGGUUUCACAACCCAGCACGCAGGGAUCGGCGUCGAAGCGCUCGGGGCCGUCGGGGGAUUCCUGCAGGCUGUAUUCCCAUCGGACGCUCUUCUGGUCCUCGGAGAGGACGAGGCGAGGGUGGGCCGUCUCCGGGUCCAGAGUCACAUUUACCAACUUUUCUUCGCCUCUCCUGUGUUCCUCAAAACAUCUUCUUGCUUUUGCCUUGUAGUGCUCGAGCUCUGCAGUGAGUUCAUCAAUUCUUCUCUCUCGUUUUUCAACUUCUGUUGAGAGUUCAUCAAUUCUGGCAUCAUGUUCCUCCCUCUCCAGAUCACUCUCCUCAACUUCCCG